rnacentral:lncRNA from 1 species
UUUUCCAGAGCGAAAAGUCGGAUCAAGAAUUGGGAAUCAAUUAGAGCUCAAAUAGACCUCCUCAGUCCUCCCCCUCUCUCUCCUCGUCCUUUUCGUCCGCGCUGCCAUCAGUUUCUCCUCUCCUCUUCUCCCCUUCCUCCACGCUGCUGGCGGCCAUUGGCGGUGGAAGACCGGCGGAAAGCGGACUCUCAGCACUGGUAAGCCUCUCUUUCUUCCACAUCCUCUUCCUUUAAAUAGACCUCCUCCCUCUUUCUCUCUCUCUCUCUGUUUCCUUUCCUCCCUCCCUCCCUCGUUCCCUCUCUCUCUUUAUCUCUUCCCCAGCGUCCCCCGGCUCCCUUCCUCUUCCUCCAAUACGAGUGGACUCCGACCCUCCUCUAAUCUCCCCCUUCCUCUACUUCGAUGAAUUCUGUCGAUUCUCAAUUCAUAAGCUGUUAACUCUUUAUUGUUUUUUCUGCUUUCUAGGGUUUUCUCGGUAUCGAAGGAAGCUGAGAAUAUGAAGUAGGAUUCUUUGCUCCUGGACAUUUGGUAUCUUCUGAACAGAUUUCUAAUUACAGGUUAUUAAAUUGCAUAUCUCAUUAGGUUUCUUCUAUAGAUGAUUCAUGAUAAUCUUCUGCAUGAGUUUAGAGAUUGUUCUUGAGUAUUUUCUUUUUCACGAGUUUGUGAUACUUGUUCCUAAUAUACUACUGAAAACUUGAGUUUUAUAUGGUAAUAUGAUGUCAUAUAUUAUUGUAAUUC